ACAGAGAGGAAGGGAGAGGGAUAGAGAGUUAGAAACAUCGAUGAGAGAGAAACAUCAAUCAGCUGCCUCCUGCACGCUCCCCACUGGGGAUGUACCCGCAACCAAGAUACAUGCCCUUGACUGGAAUCGAACCCGGGACCCUUGAGUCCACAGGCCGAUGCUCUAUCCACUGAGCCAAACCGGUUAGGGCCCCCCUGUAACUUUCAAGCAUUGCCUCCUCCACAAAGCCUUCGGGACUGGACACCCCUCCCUCACAGCAGAAUUGGCUCCUCCCACAUUUGUGCCCUCACCGUUUCCUCCCAGCACACUCACCUGAGUUAAACCUGUAGAAGGCACUUGUUUGCUGAAGAGACCCAGAUGCCUACGGGAUCACAUCU